rnacentral:rRNA from 1 species
UACGUAGGUGGCAAGCGUUGUCCGGAUUUACUGGGUGUAAAGGGCGUGCAGCCGGAGAGACAAGUCAGAUGUGAAAUCCACGGGCUCAACCCGUGAACUGCAUUUGAAACUGUUUCCCUUGAGUGUCGGAGAGGUAAUCGGAAUUCCUUGUGUAGCGGUGAAAUGCAUAGAUAUAACUUAGAACACCGAUAGCGAAGGCAGCUUACCAGACUGAGUCUGACGCUGAUGCACGAGAGCAUGGGUAGCGAACAGG